AAACUGUGACGUUUAAUCACAUUAACUGGUUUAAGUUUCAGGUCAAAUAUAUUGGAGGCUUACGUUGUUAAUCAAGGCUGGGUUAUAAAAUGUCGUCUAGAACGAAUUCUUGGAACACUUGAUGGUGAUCAAGCGAACCAGUUGAUUGAGCUGAUUGUUAACGGUGGUCUGGGAGGUCUAGGGAGGGAUAAAGGCACCGAUCCUCCAAAGCAGCUUAAAAUGAUGCUUGAAGAAUUGCAGCCUAAACAAAUAGAACUUAUUUUGAAUGGCUUAGAUGCGACGCAACUCAAACAAAUUUUGAGUGGAAUUAAAGUUGCCUAUCAGUUAAAAGACAUUUUCCGCAGCAUUUAUGAAGCCCAGCUCAGACAGCUGGUCACAAUCUUAAAUGCUGAUCAGUUAAAAGACAUUUUCCGCAGCAUUGAUGAAGCCCAGCUCAGACAGCAAGUCACAAACUUAAAUGCUGAUCAGCUCACACAGAUGGUGAACCAUUUAGCAGGCGAAAAACAAGCCAAAUCCCUGAUGCAGGCGUAUGGGGGAUUGUUGCAAUAAGACCUGAUUUUGUUGACUUUUAUGUAUGGUUAGCAAAGAAGAAGUAUCUGUUAUCCGGACACUAACAUACACAAUAGCUAUAAUUUAUCAUGCAAUUUUAUUCCGCGUUGACAGGUAUCAAAUGUACGACAGUCAAAUAGUUUUAUAACAAUCAUAGCACUAUUUGACUUCGCAGUUGACAUAAUUAAUAUCUUAAUAAUAAAAUACAUUGUGCAAUAUAAUGUCAUUUUUUUAAACACAAUAACAUCGGAAAGAAAUAAGUCAUCCGUUGAUCCUUUCAUUAGUUAUUAUUCAUUUAUUGUCCUCAUAUUGUUCUAUGGAUAUUAAGCGGCAUAAGUAUCAUACAAACAACAAGGUAUAUUAUUGAGUCUCGAAAAUACCCAGCAAUUUUUGUGAGUGACCCUGUUUUAAGGUAAAUAUACGGUUGUUUUCUUAAAACAAUUUUUCCUCUUAACAUGAAUAAGCUUACUCUCGUUACACAAAACGGACAUACUAAGCGUUCAAAAAGGCUUGUCAUCUAAUAAAUGACUGCCAAAUGUUGAUUCAAUUCAAUCGAACAUGGUUAUUUAAUAAAGAAUUGUUAAUGUCUGGUCGGAAUCGUUUCUUGUAUUAUUGCAGAUUUCAAUGCGCCACUGUUUGACUCACAAGGAUGUGACAAUAAUUUGAUUUCGUCUGAAACAAGAAAUAAAAUAAUUUAUGCAAAUGAUCAAUUAUGCUAUACAUUUGCAGAUGUAAGUUACUACGAGUGUGUAUACAUUUUGUAACAUUUGCUUCUUUUAAACGAAACUGUUUAAUGUCUAACGUAUUAUUUGUAAAUAUUAAUGAGAUAUCUUACUUAAAUGCGCUGUAUCUUUGCUUUUAUAUUAGUUUUGGCAUAUAUGAAGCGGUUAAAUUUCAUUGACAUAUAUACAAUUUUGCUUGAAUUAUCUUUCCCGUUUUGCAAUAAAAUACUGAUGUUACGCAUAUGCUGUUAUAAAAAUAAAAGAAAAAUGAAUAUACUUAAAUAUUAACAGGAGAGUAUCUUCAUUUAACCAUAUGCUAGUCUUUUCUUUAAAAACCAUUUGGCUAUAUGAGAUUUUUUUAUUUUAUUUUAUGCAUAAUAUAUUAAAAAUUAAGACACAUAUAUUAACAUGCGAUGACUAAUAAUAGAGUAUGUAUCACAUUUAUAUGGAUAUAGAGUUCAUGACAGUAUUCGAUAUUUUGUUAUUUACGCAAUACAUAACGUUCUUUAAAAUGGUGUUUAUUUAUUAAUAAUUAAUAGUUGUUUGUAAUGCUUCUUUGAUGCUGUAUGAUGCAAUAAAAUACUUCCUUUUAUACAGGCUUUGAUUUAAUUGAUAGCAUGUACAUGAAAAAAACACCAUCUUAUUUUGGAACUUAUUUCCAUAGCAGAUGUGUUUCUUCUUUUAAUGCCUUUAUCGUUGUGUUUCCGAUAUUUCGACAACAUAUCCAAUUAUAUACUUUUUCAAGAUUUAAUAAUAUAAACAUCUCAUAGACAAAAAUUGCAACCCGAGCAGAUAAAUGUCUACCUAUGCAAUGAAAUUUAGGUAUAAUAAUAAGCGAUAAAUCUUUACAAAAAAAACGUUACUUUGUAAUAUCACUUUAGUUGUUUCACGUAUAUGUUAAUACUUUUGAUUGACUAAUUGGUAUGUGUCAUACUGUAUAUUAUUGCUAUUUUCGAUUAAUAAAAACAUUCACACUUUAUAUUAAGUACAUAGAAUGUUGUACUUGAUUUUUGAUUACACAAUAAGGUGUGCACGUCCCUUUCACUACACAUUUAAGAAUGAAGUAGUUGCAAUCGAUAUUGUAAACACAGAAAGAGGUUAUUUCGAUUAACAACAAGUGUAAUAAAUGCAGUCGUAAAUUAAUAGUUAA